CAAGGCGUGACGGCCCCCUCCUUGGAAAGUAAGGAUUUGCAAUUAAAAUAAAUGUCAACUCUCCAAAGACAGCGGGUGAUGUUCUGGAAUACUACCAGGGCACGUUUGCGACCUCGCGUCCCAGGCCUGCCAUCUUGUGAGUGACGCCCAGGAAGUGAUGUUGGCCAUGCUGGGAGGAGCACAGCGCCAGGAGACUGCUGCUCAAGUCAGGGUCUGAGGCGGACGCUGUGCUCAGCGCUCGCUGCGUCCACACUGCCACUGACCUCUGGACUCCUUGGUACAUCCCUCGCCUCACCUGCCGCUUGGUCCCUGAGUGUGGUGUAGGGGGAACCUUGCCGCCCGCUGCAGCUUCCCUGAGGUUACUGCAAGACCCUCACCCCAGGAUUGGUGGGCAGGGGAGGCUGCAAGGCCGGGCAGCAGCCUGAGUGGCGGGACCAGCAGGAACACUGCCACUGCUGUGAGGACCAGAAGAACCACCACCACCACCACUGACAACAUCAUCAACAACAACAACAACAGUAACAUCACCAUCACCUUGCUGCUGGUAUCUCCAGAAAGGAAAGAAGGGAAAUAUUGAGUGUGACAAAAUUUGAGACUGGGAGCAAGUUCAACAGACACAGCCUUGCACACACUGGUGAGGAAAACCAUGAGUGGCCAGCGUGUGGGGAAAGACUCCCUGGGAAGGCUGACCUCAGCAAAUACACCCACACACUCUGCUGAAGGACCCCAUGAAUGCCUUGACUGUGGCAAAAAGUUCAGUUUGAAGGGUGACCUUAACAGACACACCCUUACACACACUGGUGAAAGACCUCAUGAAUGUCAAGUUUGUGGAAGAAGGUUUACACGGAAGAGUAGCCUGAACACACACACCCUGACACACACUGGUGAAAAACCUCAUGAAUGUCAAGUUUGUGGAAGAAGGUUUACACGGAAGAGUAGCCUGAACAAACACUCCCUUACACACACUGGUGAAAGGCCUCAUGAAUGCCAAGAGUGUGGCCAAAGGUUCAGUACAAAGGGUGACCUCAAGAAACACACCCUUACACACACUGGUGAAAGGCCUCAUGAGUGUGAGGUUUGUGGUGACACAUUCAUCAGGAAGAGCCAGCUCGAGGUACACACUUACAAACACACUGGUGAAAGGCCUCAUGAGUGUCUGGAAUGUGGAGAAAGGUUCAGAGAGAAGCAAACCCUGGAGCGUCACAUCUUCAGACACUCUGGCCUGAGAGAGUUCAAGUGUGAUGUGUGUGGGAAGCACUUUAAAACAAAGAAGGACAUUGCCCAGCACAUGAAGACCCACUUCUGAAGUUCUGUGUUGUGCUGCUGUGUGGGACCUCAGUGACGGAGAACCAGUCAUUAACACCACCUGGGGAGGACUGGCACUGUGUUGUGGCUGACUGCUGAGAGAUGCACCAACAAGCCGCACCACAGUGAACAGUGCCGUCUGCCCCGAGCCAGAGUAGUGACAACUCUGUUACCUUGUCCCGGCACAGUGCAGCAGCGGUGACUCGGGCCGCCACAACAGACCAUCAACAGGAUUAUCAAGGAGACACUGUGUGAAGGAUUGUCAAGUUUCCCUGCGCUCCACAAGAAACCCGGCCCAACAGAGACCACUGGUGCAGACUGCCGGCCUGGGAGCUGUGAUGGACGGAGUGCUUGUUAGGUUUGCUGCCCCAAGGGAAUUGAAGGCAGAAUAUGUAAUCGGGCAAGGCGUGCACACCAGGAACACUCCAGUGGUGUUUGUCAAGCCUUGUAUUGUUGGCCAGUGGCUGGGUGAGUGCAUGAUGGACAGACAAGUGGCUCCAGCAGGGAAGGAGAGGGAGGCAGGGGGCUGAGCACUGUGCUGGGACUGAGGGGAGAUAAUGGCACAGGCAGUACAACAGUGUGGCGCGUGGAACACUCUUGGCGGAAACACCGAGAGAAAAAUAACUGAAGAAUACAGAAGAAGGAAGACCAGAGAGGGAGGAAGGAAGGCAUACUGGGCCUCAGAGGUCUGGAGAAGAAGAGGAAGAAGAUGCAAGGAACUGAAGAAUACAGAAGAAGGACGACCAGAGAGGGAGGAAGGGAGGCAUGCUGGGCCUCAGAGGUCUGGAGAAGAAGAGGAAUGAAGAAUGGAGAUGAAGGAAGCAUGAAGAGUAAGAAGGUCCCGGCACUCUGCGGGUGAGUGCCCUGUCCACAGGCCUUGAGAGGGGCCGUGUGCCUGCUGGACGCUGCCUGCUAGGGGACCGCGGCCACCCUUGUCCGAGGCAGCUGCUGACCCCCUACCUGCACCCUCGGCCAGGCCCACAGACACACCACAGCGGGUUUGCCCGUGACCCGCGCACCCAUUUCCUGGACCAGCGGGGCGAACACCACUUCCAGGACCCCAGGGACCCCCUCCCCCGAGGUGCGACGCAUGGGACUCAAGG